rnacentral:rRNA from 1 species
UGGGGAAUAUUGGACAAUGGGCGAAAGCCUGAUCCAGCCAUGCCGCGUGUGUGAAGAAGGCCUUUUGGUUGUAAAGCACUUUAAGCGAGGAGGAGGCUACUUGGAUUAAUACUCUAGGAUAGUGGACGUUACGCGCAGAAUAAGCACCGGCUAACUCUGUGCCAGCAGCCGCGGUAAUACAGAGGGUGCGAGCGUUAAUCGGAUUUACUGGGCGUAAAGCGUGCGUAGGCGGCUUCUUAAGUCGGAUGUGAAAUCCCUGAGCUUAACUUAGGAAUUGCAUUCGAUACUGGGAAGCUAGAGUAUGGGAGAGGAUGGUAGAAUUCCAGGUGUAGCGGUGAAAUGCGUAGAGAUCUGGAGGAAUACCGAUGGCGAAGGCAGCCAUCUGGCCUAAUACUGACGCUGAGGUACGAAAGCAUGGGGAGCAAACAGG